CAUGGUUUGAACAAAUAGUUUCAUAUCUUCACUGAACAUUGCUCUUCAAGACGCAAUAGAAGGAUGGAACGAUGACAUUUUCUUAUGGCGCCGCAUCACAUUAUCUGGGCUGCCUACAAAUCAUGACAGCCACAUGUCAGGAUUCUUGGUGCUCAAAUUUAUGCGGUGGUGGGAUGGUCAAGAAGUUGUCCGAGCAAAGGGCACGGUUGGUUACGCCCUGUGGAACAGAGCGGUGGUACACAUUCUUUCAUACAAGGAUAACGAAAGUGGAGCCAACAUCCCGCAAUUUGUUACAAAUUUGGUCAAACUACUAGGAUCAGAAUUUUUUGUUUGAAAAGGUUGCCGGUUUGGCUAUUUUGAACAAUACCAGUUUAUUGUUUUUUAUUGUGUACUCCUAUAAAAGAAACUAGCGGAUCUGAUUUGAAUGUUGGAUGCUAUAUUUACUAUCCCUAUAUUUUU